AGUCGAGCGAGACUCUUCGGAGUCUAGCGGCGGACGGGUGAGUAACACGUGGGCAACCUGCCUGUAAGACUGGGAUAACACCGGGAAACCGGUGCUAAUACCGGAUAAUCCUUUUCCUCUCAUGAGGAAAAGCUGAAAGACGGUUUCGGCUGACACUUACAGAUGGGCCCGCGGCGCAUUAGCUAGUUGGUGAGGUAACGGCUCACCAAGGCGACGAUGCGUAGCCGACCUGAGAGGGUGAUCGGCCACACUGGGACUGAGACACGGCCCAGACUCCUACGGGAGGCAGCAGU
rnacentral:rRNA from 2 species